UUUGCACUUUGAAUGUCCACCGAUAGAAAUAUUUUUCUAUCUCUUCUUAGUCGUAGUUAAUUAAAAACAAGCGAUCUAAUUAACCGUAACUACUAAACAACCCAAGACAAGCGCUAAAGGUUUAAUCUAGUAGCAUCCUUAAGAAUUAGAGAGAUCGAUGAAGCUAAACAACACAAACACAAGCGGUUGCAUUUGAUUUAGCCGAGUAUUCUUCCUAAGAUCUGAAAAUUUCUGA
rnacentral:lncRNA from 1 species